AGAGUUUGAUCCUGGCUCAGAAUGAACGCUGGCGGCGUGCUUAACACAUGCAAGUCGAACGAUGAAGCCUAGCUUGCUAGGUGGAUUAGUGGCGCACGGGUGAGUAAUAUAUAGAUAACGUGCCUCUUAGUCUGGGAUAGCCAUUGGAAACGAUGAUUAAUACUGGAUACUCCUUCUGAUUAUAAUUUCAGUCGGGGAAGUUUUUCGCUAAGAGAUCGGUCUAUAUCCCAUCAGCUUGUUGGUAGUGUAAGAGACUACCAAGGCAAUGACGGGUAGCGGGUUUGAGAGGAUGAUCCGCCACACUGGUACUGAGACACGGACCAGACUCCUACGGGAGGCAGCAGUGAGGAAUAUUGCACAAUGGGGGAAACCCUGAUGCAGCAACGCCGCGUGGAGGAUGACGCAUUUCGGUGUGUAAACUCCUUUUAUAUGCCAAGAAAAUGACGGUAGCAUAUGAAUAAGCACCGGCUAACUCCGUGCCAGCAGCCGCGGUAAUACGGAGGGUGCAAGCGUUAUUCGGAAUCACUGGGCGUAAAGGCAGCAGCAGUGUAGGGGUAAAAUCCGUAGAUAUCACUAGGAAUACCGAAAGCGAAGGCGAUCUCCUGGAACAAUACUGACGCUAAGGCGUGAAAGCGUGGGGAGCAAACGGGAUUAGAUACCCCGGUAGUCCACGCCCUAAACGAUGAACACUAGUCGUCGGAAUGCUAGUCAUUUCGGUGAUGCACUUAACAGAUUAAGUGUUCCGCCUGGGGAGUACGGUCGCAAGAUUAAAACUCAAAGGAAUAGACGGGGACCCGCACAAGUGGUGGAGCAUGUGGUUUAAUUCGAAAAUACGCGAAGAACCUUACCUAGCCUUGACAUUGAAGAAACACCCUAGAGAUAGAGUGGUGCCCUUCGGGGAACCUGAAAACAGGUGCUGCACGGCUGUCGUCAGCUCGUGUCGUGAGAUGUUGGGUUAAGUCCCGCAACGAGCGCAACCCUCGUCCUUAGUUGCCAGCAGUUUGGCUGGCACUCUAAGGAGACUGCCUUCGCAAGGAGGAGGAAGGUGAGGACGACGUCAAGUCAUCAUGGCCCUUAUGGCUAGGGCUACACACGUGCUACAAUGGGGCGUACAGAGAGUUGCGAUACCGCGAGGUGGAGCCAAUCUCAUAAAGCGUCUCUCAGUUCGGAUUGAAGUCUGCAACUCGACUUCAUGAAGCUGGAAUCACUAGUAAUCGUAGAUCAGCAAUGCUACGGUGAAUACGUUCCCGGGUCUUGUACUCACCGCCCGUCACACCAUGGGUGUUGAUUUCACCCGAAAUUGGGAAGCUAACCUUCGGGGGGCUACCACUUACGGUGGAAUUAGCGACUGGGGUGAAGUCGUAACAAGGUA
rnacentral:rRNA from 1 species